rnacentral:lncRNA from 1 species
GAAUUGCCCUGGAACAAUUUACAGAGCAGCGGUUCCUUUUCCGUGGAUGGAGACUUCUCUCUGCUCCUUGGAGCUCCUUCUUGUUCCAGGAUGAUAUGGAAAGUGAUUCAUCAGGCCCAAGCCCAUGCUGGAUAAACCUCAACAACCGCUUGCUUCUGGGGCUCCUGCCACCCAUAGACCUUGCCCUGAGCUUGUGCUUCAGAGAGCCCCAGUCCAGCCCUCCUCCUGUGUGUGACUUUAAAAAACAAAAUAUGUACAUGCAUGGCUGAUUCAUGUCAAUAUAUAGCAAAAACCACUAUAAUAUUAUAAAGUAACUAGCCUCCAAUUAAAAUAAAUAA